UACGAAGGGGGCGAGCGUUGUUCGGAAUUACUGGGCGUAAAGGGCGCGUAGGCUGUGCUGUAAGUCAGGCGUGAAAGCCCCGGGCUCAACCUGGGAAUUGCGCUUGAUACUGCGGCGCUGGAAGGUGGGAGAGGAUGGCGGAAUUCCCAGUGUAGAGGUGAAAUUCGUAGAUAUUGGGAAGAACACCGGUGGCGAAGGCGGCCAUCUGGCCCACAUUUGACGCUGAGGCGCGAAAGCGUGGGGAGCAAACAGG
rnacentral:rRNA from 1 species